rnacentral:rRNA from 1 species
CCUACGGGGGGCUGCAGUGGGGAAUAUUGCACAAUGGGCGCAAGCCUGAUGCAGCCAUGCCGCGUGUGUGAAGAAGGCCUUCGGGUUGUAAAGCACUUUCAGCGGGGAGGAAGGCGGUGAGAUUAAUACCCUCAUCGAUUGACGUUACCCGCAAAAGAAGCACCGGCUAACUCCGUGCCAGCAGCCGCGGUAAUACGGAGGGUGCAAGCGUUAAUCGGAAUUACUGGGCGUAAAGCGCACGCAGGCGGUCUGUCAAGUCGGAUGUGAAAUCCCCGGGCUCAACCUGGGAACUGCAUUCGAAACUGGCAGGCUAGAGUCUUGUAGAGGGGGGUAGAAUUCCAGGUGUAGCGGUGAAAUGCGUAGAGAUCUGGAGGAAUACCGGUGGCGAAGGCGGCCCCCUGGACAAAGACUGACGCUCAGGUGCGAAAGCGUGGGGAGCAAACAGGAUUAGAUACCCUAGUAGUC